rnacentral:rRNA from 1 species
GAUGAACGCUGGCGGCGUGCCUAAUACAUGCAAGUCGAGCGAACAGACGAGGAGCUUGCUCCUUUGACGUUAGCGGCGGACGGGUGAGUAACACGUAGGUAACCUACCUAUAAGACUGGGAUAACUUCGGGAAACCGGAGCUAAUACCGGAUAAUAUUUCGAACCGCAUGGUUCGAUAGUGAAAGAUGGCUUUGCUAUCACUUAUAGAUGGACCUGCGCCGUAUUAGCUAGUUGGUAAGGUAACGGCUUACCAAGGCAACGAUACGUAGCCGACCUGAGAGGGUGAUCGGCCAUACUGGAACUGAGACACGGUCCAGACUCCUACGGGAGGCAGCAGUAGGGAAUCUUCCGCAAUGGGCGAAAGCCUGACGGAGCAACGCCGCGUGAGUGAUGAAGGUCUUCGGAUCGUAAAACUCUGUUAUUAGGGAAGAACAAACGUGUAAGUAACUGUGCACGUCUUGACGGUACCUAAUCAGAAAGCCACGGCUAACUACGUG